rnacentral:rRNA from 1 species
AUUGAACGCUGGCGGCAUGCUUUACACAUGCAAGUCGAACGGUAACAGGUCUUUCGGGAUGCUGACGAGUGGCGAACGGGUGAGUAAUGUAUCGGAACGUGCCCAGUAGUGGGGGAUAACUACUCGAAAGAGUGGCUAAUACCGCAUGAGAUCUCUGGAUGAAAGCGGGGGACCGUAAGGCCUCGCGCUACUGGAGCGGCCGAUAUCAGAUUAGGUUGUUGGUGAGGUAAAGGCUCACCAAGCCGACGAUCUGUAGCUGGUCUGAGAGGACGACCAGCCACACUGGGACUGAGACACGGCCCAGACUCCUACGGGAGGCAGCAGUGGGGGAAUUUUGGACAAUGGGCGCAAGCCUGAUCCAGCAAUGCCGCGUGCAGGACGAAGGCCUUCGGGUUGUAACCGCUUUGUACGGAACGAAAGACCUUCUUCUAAUACAGGAGGGUCGUGACGGUACCGUAAGAAUAAGC